CACACUGCUCCGGGGAGCAAGCACCUUUCGAGGUCGACUGCUGAGAUGGUUGAAAAACCGAACCCGUGAACUUGAUCCGGUUAGUACCGGCGAAAGAAGAGCGCAUGCCUUAAAG
rnacentral:ncRNA from 2 species